rnacentral:rRNA from 1 species
AUUGAACGCUGGCGGCAGGCCUAACACAUGCAAGUCGAACGGUAACAGGAAGCAGCUUGCUGCUUCGCUGACGAGUGGCGGACGGGUGAGUAAUGUCUGGGAAACUGCCUGAUGGAGGGGGAUAACUACUGGAAACGGUAGCUAAUACCGCAUAACGUCGCAAGACCAAAGAGGGGGACCUUAGGGCCUCUUGCCAUCGGAUGUGCCCAGAUGGGAUUAACUAGUAGGUGGGGUAACGGCUCACCUAGGCGACGAUCCCUAGCUGGUCUGAGAGGAUGACCAGCCACACUGGAACUGAGACACGGUCCAGACUCCUACGGGAGGCAGCAGUGGGGAAUAUUGCACAAUGGGCGCAAGCCUGAUGCAGCCAUGCCGCGUGUAUGAAGAAGGCCUUCGGGUUGUAAAGUACUUUCAGCGGGGAGGAAGGGAGUAAAGUUAAUACCUUUGCUCAUUGACGUUACCCGCAGAAGAAGCACCGGCUAACUCCGUG